GGCAGACGGGUGAGUAACGCGUGGGAACUGCUUUCGGUUCGGAAUAACCCAGGAAACUUGGGCUAAUACCGGAUACGCCCUUCGGGGGAAAGAUUCAUUGCCGAAAGAUCGGCCCGCGUCGGAUUAGCUAGUUGGUAGGGUAAUGGCCUACCAAGGCGACGAUCCGUAGCUGGUCUGAGAGGAUGACCAGCCACACUGGGACUGAGACACGGUCCAGACUCAUACGGGAGGCAGCAGUGGGGAAUAUUGGACAAUGGGCGAAAGCCUGAUCCAGCCAUGCCGCGUGGGUGAAGAAGGCCUUAGGGUUGUAAACCCCUUUCAGCGGGGAAGAUAAUGACGGUACCCGCAGAAGAAGUCCCGGCUAACUCCGUGCCAGCCGCCGCGG
rnacentral:rRNA from 1 species